rnacentral:rRNA from 1 species
CCUACGGGCGGCAGCAGUAGGGAAUCUUCCACAAUGGGCGAAAGCCUGAUGGAGCAACGCCGCGUGGGUGAAGAAGGUCUUCGGAUCAUAAAACCCUGUUGUUAGAGAAGAAAGUUCGUGAGAGUAACUGUUCACGUUUCGACGGUAUAUAACCAGAAAGCCACGGCUAACUACGUGCCACCAGCCUCGGUAAUACGUAGGGGGCAAGCGUUGUCCGGAUUUAUUGGGCGUAAAGGGAACGCAGGCGGUUUUUUAAGUCUGAGGUGAAAGCCUUCGGCUUAACCGGAGUAGUGCAUUGGAAACUGGGAGACUUGAGUGCAGAAGAGGAGAGUGGAACUCCAUGUGUAGCGGUGAAAUGCGUAGAUAUAUGGAAGAACACCAGUGGCGAAGGCCGCUCUCUGGUCUGUAACUGACGCUGAGGUUCGAAAGCGUGGGUAGCAAACAGGAUUAGAUACCCUUGUAGUC